GACGAACGCUGGCGGCGUGCUUAACACAUGCAAGUCGAACGGUGAAGCGCCUUCCUUUUUGGUGGGUGUGGAUGAGUGGCGAACGGGUGAGUAACACGUGAGUAACCUGCCCCCUUCUUCUGGAUAACCGCAUGAAAGUGUGGCUAAUACGGGAUAUUCUGGGUCUGUCGCAUGAUGGGUCUGGGAAAGAUAUUGUUUCGGUGGGGGAUGGGCUCGCGGCCUAUCAGCUUGUUGGUGGGGUGAUGGCCUACCAAGGCGGUGACGGGUAGCCGGCCUGAGAGUGUGGACGGUCACACUGGGACUGAGACACGGCCCAGACUCCUACGGGAGGCAGCAGUGGGGAAUAUUGCACAAUGGGCGCAAGCCUGAUGCAGCGACGCCGCGUGAGGGAUGGAGGCCUUCGGGUUGUGAACCUCUUUCGCCAGUGAAGCAGGCCUGCCUCGUUUGUGGGUGGGUUGACGGUAGCUGGAUAAGAAGCGCCGGCUAACUACGUG
rnacentral:rRNA from 1 species